GAGCAGGGUGCAGAGGGUACGAGGGUACGGAAAGCCAGAGUGUGGCUGUCCUGCCUCCCUUUCCCUCCCUCCUUCCUUCAGAUGCUCCCUUGACUGGGACUGGGAGAUGCCCCGUGUGGUCCUCCGAUCCCAGGUGCAGAGCCUGCAGGGAGAACUCAGACGAAAUGUAGGACUUUAAGACCCAAGCUCAGAUUCUACAACGCCCACGGGACUAAGAGGUGUGCAACCUCCCCGCACCCCCCCCAAUGUGUCAGUAUCUGGUUGGUCAUAGCACCCCAAAGGUCAAUAAGGUGGCUAUAAAACCCCUCUGGGUGUGAGGAGGAAAAAUAAACUAAACUAAACUGUUCCUCAUUUGACCCUAAAUGAGGAACACAACCUCGCUGAUGGGAGUAGGAUUGCGGUCUCACAGGUCAUAGCAACCUAUUCUUCUAGUUCAGCUUAAAGCAAGCAACUUCAGUAGUACUCAUCUGUGUCGUGGAGGCUGAAAAGAAUAGAGUCCUGUACUUAAGGCUGCCUCUUGCCCUCAGCUUGCUAAAGCUUGCUAUGUCUCGGGCCCUUCACAUAGCCAACUUCUAGGCUCUAAACUAGAAACCUCUCAACUCCAGGGAUAUGCUUCUAGAACCUUCUCAGAUCACUUCUAAGAUGACAGUUGACCUGAGGGGUGGCGGCCACACUCAGUCUGGCUGACUGGAAAGCUGGGCUGUGUGUUUCAUUCCAGGCUGGGGACACCAGUGGAAUGCUGACUGAUUCCAUAACAGGGAGAAGUCCAGGGGUAGAUAAAGAGAGUGAGGAGAUUAAAAAAAAUCUCCUCAGCUUCCUGGACAGUCAACAUGCAGAAGAGGUGGUCUCCGUUUUUAGAAGCAGUUGUAUAUCAGGGUAGUAAAGGACUAAAUUCCGGAUGACCAGAAGAAAGACUGUCUCCCUGUUGUAUCUCUACAUCUCUUGACUCUGCUCAACCCUUUCCUUAAGGGUCCCCCACCAAGCACAAGCUUCAGAAUCUGGGUACCCCCACAUUUAUCUGGGUACCUCCACACUUACCAGGGCACAAACAUCAACCUGAGGAACCCUGGGGCCUGCCAUCUUGUAGGCUGACAUGUUCUGGGCCUAGAGCAGUCCUGUCUGGUUGUUAAUUCCCUACCCACCCCUGUCUCUCCAGGCUUUAGCUGUCACUGGCAGGGACUCCCAAACACCCACCUUUUGGGUAGGUAUGAAACCAAAAUCUUGAGAAGAAGACCUGCAGAGCUAGCCACUGACAAAAUUGCCAAAUAAGAUGAAUCCUCACGAACUGUCUCUUGUAUUGCUUUAAGGUCUGUGGGUUGUGCUACCUUCCAUCAGAUUUUCAGAAACUAAAAGUUGUCCCUACGUGGAUCUAAUAAGUCACCUCCUAUCUCCUGGAUUUGCCCUUCCGGUCUUCUCAUCACCUUUGCUGCCUUGUGGGCCCUGGGUAUGCCUCACCAGGAUUAGAGACUUCUCAUCAGCGGGAACCCUAAAUGACUCUUUCAUCCCUUGCUUCCAGGCCUAGCCAGUGCAUGGUUUCUAGAGUGUAUCUGUCCAAAGUUGUCUCCCUCACUGCGUGCAAUUUUGUACUAAAUGUCUAUCACUAAAGGACAGCAAUCUGAAUGCAAUCUGGAGCAUUCGAAGGGUUUCCAGACUCAAAGUUGACUUACUUGCUCCCAUCUCCCUGGUCCCCAGUCCUAAGAACGGCAUUCCAUAAAAAGGCCGCUGGAGUUCCAGAUUUAUUUCGGUGGCAAACUGGAGAUCAGAGUUACUGACCUCCCAGAGCAAGCAGCAGGUAUCCUGGGCAGACAUGGGUUAUGGAGCGUCUGGCUUCUAUGGUAUAGCUAAUCACCCUCCAGGCUAUAACGCAAGAGGCUGCAGGGUGUGACACACACAAAAAUAAAGAAGCUAACCAAGAAAGAGGAAGUCAUGAGAUACAUAAACUCCUCCGCCCAGGAAGAGGAGGUGAAAGGGUCGAAUGAGUGAGCCUUUCACAGGGAUCUCCUAAGACCAUUAGAAAACACAGAUACAUAUAUAUUACAAUCUAUUCACGGGAGCAAAUUUACAGUUAUGAAGUCGCAACAAAAAUAAUUUUAUGGUUGGGGGAACUCACCACAACGUGAGGAACUGUAUUAAAGGGUCACAGCACCAGGAAGAUUGAGAAGAACUUGGAGUUUCAGGACAGCCACGGCUACAUAGUGAGUCCUUGUCUCAGAAAUAAAUAAAUAAUAAAUGCCAGAAAAUUGCUGGUCCUUUUCCAAGAGGGAAUUAAUAACCCACGACAAGUGUCCAGCAAGUGCCUGAGCAAGAAGAAGGAAAGAGUUCACACGUCAUUAGGGGACAAAACUACAGACUCUACUUACCCGAAAGAGUUUAAAACACUGCCUACGGCUUUGCUCACUCAAAGUCCAGAUGAAACAAAAUUGACCCAAAAAUAGUCAAACCGAACCAAGAGCUAUUAAAAAUUCUGCAUUGCUAAUCGAGGUAUCCGUUCCAGGUGGUUUUAGAAACUUUUCUUUCCUUAAACUUUCAAAGUAUAAAUAAACACGGUCUUAAACCAAUGUUUUCAGUUCC
rnacentral:lncRNA from 1 species